rnacentral:rRNA from 1 species
AAUGGACGGAAGUCUGAACCAGCCAUCCCGCGUGCAGGAUGAAGGUCCUAUGGAUUGUAAACUGCUUUUAGCAGAGACGAAACGCCUCCAUUUAUGGGGGUCUGACGGUAUCUGCGGAAUAAGCACCGGCUAACUCCGUGCCAGCAGCCGCGGUAAUACGGAGGGUGCAAGCGUUAUCCGGAAUCACUGGGUUUAAANGGUGCGUAGGCGGGGAAUUAAGUCAGUGGUGAAAGCCUGUCGCUUAACGAUAGAAUUGCCAUUGAUACUGAUUUUCUUGAAUUGGGUUGAGGUUAGCGGAAUGUGACAUGUAGCGGUGAAAUGCAUAGAUAUGUCAUGGAACACCAAUUGCGAAGGCAGCUAACUGGGCCUUGAUUGACGCUGAGGCACGAAAGCGUGGGCAGCGAA